rnacentral:tRNA from 1 species
GGGUUGUGGCUCAGUGGUAGAGCACUCACUCGCCUAGCAUGCAUGAGGCACUGGAUUCGAUCCCCAGCACCCA